rnacentral:lncRNA from 1 species
GUUGCAGAUCAUUAGAUUUUUUCAGAGCAGUCGCCAAUAAGGUAUGGAUAGCUGUGAUGAUAGCCAACCUCCAACAGGAGAAGGAACUACAAGAACAAGCAUGAAAAAUUGUUGAAAUAACUGCAGAAAAUGAGGCUAGACUAUUGGAACCAAGAAACAAGCUUAAAAUAUUCCAACUACACCACUAAAAGCGUCCAUAAACAAAGGGGUGUCCGACAAGGGUGUGUCAUGUUUGAAUUGCCUUUCAAUCUGUACUCCGAAUGUAUACUAAAAUACGCUCUAGACGACGCCAAAAUUAACAAGAAAAGAAAAAAGUCCUACAAAAUAUACUAGACACAGUUAAUAAUGCAAGAGAAGCAAUUGCACUAACGUUAUAUGUAUUCUCAAAAAACUUAAGUAAUGGUAAUUAGCAAAGUCAAUGAAAACUGUCAUAUUGAUCUAAAUAAUAAUUCAAGGAAACGAUUCAGGACAGAAUUGAAGACCUUGGGACCAGAAGGGGACAAGCCACAAUUUCGUCAAAAAUGAGUUAAACUAGAAAUCGCACACUUUAAAUCAUAUUAAUGUCUCAAACACAAAAAAUUUAAGCUGUUUUCUCAUAGAUGGCGUCGCUGUAGUAAGUCCCGUUGUGUCAUCAACAUGUCGCCUUCUGGCAACGAUACCGGGACGACUCAAAAAAUGUGUUUCGAGAAAAUCGAGUUGCAAGUUUUUGUCAUUUUGCACAGCUAUUGUAUGCUUUGAGUUAUAUUCGUUUUUAACUAAAACUAUGUUCUUUGUUUCAGUUGAUAUCAAAGAUUGUUUUUCAGUUCAUUUUGGCAAUCUUUUGGUACCACUUGAGUUAACAAUUAGCAAUUAAUUGAAAUUUUUUUGAAUUGUCCCAGUAUUGUUGGAAGAAUCAUUUCAUUAUUAUGAAUAUUUUUGUGAUCAUUGUGGCAUACUAUCCGUUGCAAGAUAAUUCGGAUGGAAUUCCCCAGAUUAAGAGACUGGGCCGAUAUCAAGUACAAAAUGACUGUACUCCCUUAAUGCUGUAACGAAUAGUCACCCUUAAUCUUUCGUUACAUUAGGUUCAAUUUUAAAUUCUAUCCAAAGUUUAAAGGUACUUUACUAAAUCAUAAUAUAAUACACACGAAUAGUACACACUGAGAAAAUUCAAAAGGUUCACGACGGAUUUUAGCGUUAGCCCACUACUCGCGCCGCGUUUACCUCCUACCACUCUGAAUGUAAUAGUGGACCUAGCGCCCUCACUCGGAGAGUAUUGCACUUAAAAAUGUCCCAGUCAUCGCGGAUUAUAGAGCUUAAAAUCCUCUAUAUGUUAGUGUAGACAUCUCAAAAACGACCAAUUUUAAGUUGUCCCGGUAUCGUUGCCGGAAAGCGAUGUGUAGUAAUCAACAUGGCGGUGGAACAUUCCGUGUAUGUAAACGGAAAAUAGACUUUCCUGAGUUUGAUUCUGAAGACGGUGACCAAGAUCCAUUUCUAAAUGAAAGCGAAGAUGACAAAGACUAUACAGUAUCCGGAAGUAGCAGCGAGUCGGAAGAUAUAAACUCAGAAACAGUAAGUUUAUUAAAUCUGUGGCUUGUCCCCUUAUGUUAUAUUUUUCGGACAUAAAAAUAUUAGGAUUGUUGUGAAGGUUUUUUGUGGCUUAUCCCUUUUUAGUAAAAUACCUACUUUAUUGUAGAAAAAUGAAUGGGUUUAUACCCCACAGACUUCUGGAGGUCUUUUGCCAACUCCAGAAAAGAAGGAGCCUCCUAGAUGGAGACACAAUGAUACCCAACGACAUAAAAAAAUUAAGCGCAAGACUAAAAUAAAUCUAGGUUACGAAUAUAUAAAUACAAAA